rnacentral:rRNA from 1 species
UUAAGGUUUCCUGAGGAAGGCUCGUCCGCUCAGGGUUAGUCGGGACCUAAGCCGAGGCCGAAAGGCGUAGGCGAUGGACAACAGGUUGAUAUUCCUGUACCACCUCCUCACCAUUUGAGCAAUGGGGGGACGCAGGAGGAUAGGGUAAGCGCGGUAUUGGAUAUCCGCGUCCAAGCAGUUAGGCUGGGAAAUAGGCAAAUCCGUUUCCCAUAAGGCUGAGCUGUGAUGGCGAGCGAAAUAUAGUAGCGAAGUUCCUGAUUCCACACUGCCAAGAAAAGCCUCUAGCGAGGUGAGAGGUGCCCGUACCGCAAACCGACACAGGUAGGCGAGGAGAGAAUCCUAAGGUGAUCGAGAGAACUCUCGUUAAGGAACUCGGCAAAAUGACCCCGUAACUUCGGGAGAAGGGGUGCUCUGUUAGGGUGCAAGCCCGAGAGAGCCGCAGUGAAUAGGCCCAGGCGACUGUUUAGCAAAAACACAGGUCUCUGCGAAGCCGUAAGGCGAAGUAUAGGGGCUGACGCCUGCCCGGUGCUGGAAGGUUAAGAGGAGCGCUUAGCGUAAGCGAAGGUGCGAAUUGAAGCCCCAGUAAACGGCGGCCGUAACAAUAACGGUCCUAAGGUAGCGAAAUUCCUUGUCGGGUAAGUUCCGACCCGCACGAAAGGCGCAACGAUCUGGGCACUGUCUCAACGAGAGACUCGGUGAAAUUAUAGUACCUGUGAAGAUGCAGGUUACCCGCGACAGGACGGAAAGACCCCGUGGAGCUUUACUGCAGCCUGAUAUUGAAUGUUGGUACAGCUUGUACAGGAUAGGUAGGAGCCUUGGAAACCGGAGCGCCAGCUUCGGUGGAGGCAUCGGUGGGAUACUACCCUGGCUGUAUUGACCUUCUAACCCGCUGCCCUUAUCGGGCGGGGAGACAGUGUCAGGUGGGCAGUUUGACUGGGGCGGUCGCCUCCUAAAAGGUAACGGAGGCGCCCAAAGGUUCCCUCAGAAUGGUUGGAAAUCAUUCGCAGAGUGUAAAGGCACAAGGGAGCUUGACUGCGAGACCUACAAGUCGAGCAGGGACGAAAGUCGGGCUUAGUGAUCCGGUGGUUCCGCAUGGAAGGGCCAUCGCUCAACGGAUAAAAGCUACCCCGGGGAUAACAGGCUUAUCUCCCCCAAGAGUCCACAUUGACGGGGAGGUUUGGCACCUCGAUGUCGGCUCAUCGCAUCCUGGGGCUGUAGUCGGUCCCAAGGGUUGGGCUGUUCGCCCAUUAAAGCGGUACGCGAGCUGGGUUCAGAACGUCGUGAGACAGUUCGGUCCCUAUCCGUCGCGGGCGCAGGAAAUUUGAGAGGAGCUGUCCUUAGUACGAGAGGACCGGGAUGGACGCGCCGCUGGUGUACCAGUUGUUCUGCCAAGGGCAUCGCUGGGUAGCUAUGUGCGGACGGGAUAAGUGCUGAAAGCGUCUAAGCAUGAAGCCCCCCUCAAGAUGAGAUUUCCCAUUCCGCAAGGAAGUAAGAUCCCUGAAAGAUGGUCAGGUUGAUAGGUCUGAGGUGGAAGUGUGGCGACACAUGGAGCUGACAGAUACUAAUCGAUCGAGGACUUAACC